AACGAACGCUGGCGGCAGGCCUAACACAUGCAAGUCGAACGCUGUAGCAAUACAGAGUGGCAGACGGGUGAGUAACGCGUGGGAACGCGCCUUUCGGUUCGGAAUAACUAAGGGAAACUUGAGCUAAUACCGGAUACGCCCUUCGGGGGAAAGAUUUAUUGCCGAAAGAUCGGCCCGCGUCCGAUUAGCUAGUUGGUGUGGUAAUGGCGCACCAAGGCGACGAUCGGUAGCUGGUCUGAGAGGAUGAUCAGCCACACUGGGACUGAGACACGGCCCAGACUCCUACGGGAGGCAGCAGUGGGGAAUAUUGGACAAUGGGCGCAAGCCUGAUCCAGCCAUGCCGCGUGAGUGAUGAAGGCCCUAGGGUUGUAAAGCUCUUUCGCCAGGGACGAUAAUGACGGUACCUGGAUAAGAAGCCCCGGCUAACUUCGUGCCAGCCGCCGCCGUAAGAC
rnacentral:rRNA from 1 species